rnacentral:rRNA from 1 species
AUUGAACGCUGGCGGCAUGCUUUACACAUGCAAGUCGAACGGUAACAGGUUAAGCUGACGAGUGGCGAACGGGUGAGUAAUGCAUCGGAACGUGCCCGGUCGUGGGGGAUAACACUUAGAAAGAAGUGCUAAUACCGCAUACGAUCUAAGGAUGAAAGCGGGGGACCGUAAGGCCUCGCGCGAUCGGAGCGGCCGAUGUCAGAUUAGGUAGUUGGUGGGGUAAAGGCCUACCAAGCCGACGAUCUGUAGCUGGUCUGAGAGGACGACCAGCCACACUGGGACUGAGACACGGCCCAGACUCCUACGGGAGGCAGCAGUGGGGAAUUUUGGACAAUUGGCGCAAGCCUGAUCCAGCAAUGCCGCGUGCAGGAAGAAGGCCUUCGGGUUGUAAACUGCUUUUGUACGGAGCGAAAAGGCUCUCUCUAAUACAGGGGGCUGAUGACGGUACCGUAAGAGUAAGCACCGGCUAACUACGUGCCAGCCGCCGCCGUAA